rnacentral:rRNA from 1 species
CCUACGGGUGGCAGCAGUGAGGAAUAUUGGUCAAUGGACGCAAGUCUGAACCAGCCAUGCCGCGUGCAGGAAGACGGCUCUAUGAGUUGUAAACUGCUUUUGUACGGGGGUAAACGCAGAUACGCGUAUCAGUCUGAAAGUAUAGUAAGAAUAAGGAUGGGCUAACUCCGUGCCAGCAGCCGGGGUAAUACGGAGGAUUCAAGCGUUAUCCGGAUUUAGUGGGUGUAAAGGGUGCGUAGGCGGUCGGAUAAGUUAGAGGUGAAAUCCCGAGGCUCAACUUCGGAAUUGCCUCUGAUACUGCUCGGCUAGAGAGUAGUUGCGGUAGGCGGAAUGUAUGGUGUAGCGGUGAAAUGCGUAGAGAUUAUACAGAACACCGAUGGCGAAGGCAGCUUACCAAGCUACUACUGACGUUGAGGCACGAAAGCGUGGGGAGCAAACAGGAUUAGAUACCCGAGUAGUC